GUGCCAGCAGCCGCGGUAAUACGGAGGGUGCAAGCGUUAAUCGGAAUUACUGGGCGUAAAGCGCACGCAGGCGGUCUGUCAAGUCGGAUGUGAAAUCCCCGGGCUCAACCUGGGAACUGCAUUCGAAACUGGCAGGCUAGAGUCUUGUAGAGGGGGGUAGAAUUCCAGGUGUAGCGGUGAAAUGCGUAGAGAUCUGGAGGAAUACCGGUGGCGAAGGCGGCCCCCUGGACAAAGACUGACGCUCAGGUGCGAAAGCGUGGGGAGCAAACAGGAUUAAAUACCCUGGUAGUCC
rnacentral:rRNA from 1 species